UCGCGACCCCAGGUCAGGCGGGACUACCCGC
rnacentral:rRNA from 3 species